rnacentral:rRNA from 1 species
CUCCGCGGUCGAGUGCUACGACCGGUUUCGAGGCGGUCAGAAGCCCGGCGGAAAGGUAGCGCCGCCCUUCGGGGUGUCGUGUUAUAGGCCGCCGCGGUGGACUCGCCGCGAGACCGAGGACGCUUGCCGCGCCGAGCGGUCCCGGGCCGUCUUGGGWGGUUCGACCUCGGCUGCACUGCUCCGCAGAGCACCGUAACCGCCGCCCUAGCACGGGUCCGGAGACUGCCGGCGCCUCGGGUCAGUAGCGAAUCGGUCGGUCCUCCACCCGACCCGUCUUGAAACACGGACCAAGGAGUCUAACAUGUGCGCGAGUCAUGGGGUCCGUACGAAA